UACGUAGGGUGCGAGCGUUAAUCGGAAUUACUGGGCGUAAAGCGUGCGCAGGCGGUUUUGUAAGCCAGAUGUGAAAUCCCCGGGCUUAACCUGGGAAUGGCAUUUGGGACUGCAAGGCUGGAGUUUGGCAGAGGAGACUGGAAUUCCUGGUGUAGCAGUGAAAUGCGUAGAUAUCAGGAAGAACACCGGUGGCGAAGGCGGGUCUCUGGGCCAUAACUGACGCUGAGGAGCGAAAGCGUGGGGAGCGAACAGG
rnacentral:rRNA from 1 species